ensembl:snoRNA Gm24958 predicted gene, 24958
AACCUUGGCAGCCCCUCUUGAUGAUCCCUCUUCCUGAACAGCUCCAGUGAUAAGCAAACUGAGCCUCUAAGAAGUUGACUGAAGGGGCAGCUCUGCC